GACGGAGGAUGCAAGUGUUAUCCGGAAUCACUGGGCGUAAAGCGUCUGUAGGUGGUUCGAAAAGUCCACUGUUAAAAAUUGAGGCUUAACUUCAAAGAUGCCGUGGAAACUUUCAAACUAGAGUAUGGUAGGGGUAGAGGGAAUUUCCAGUGGAGCGGUGAAAUGCGUAGAUAUUGGAAAGACCACCGAUGGCAGAAGCACUCGUCACUGGC
rnacentral:rRNA from 1 species